UGUUACUCUACAAGGCUGUCAGAGAUGUUCCUAUAAAAACAGCUAAGACAAGCCUGAGGACUGUAGAGAGUGAACUCAAACCAACCAAGAUUGUUUUCCUUGCAAGGGGCAGACGGAGGACACACUGUGUGAGUGAGUCCACAGACUGCCAAAGUGGUAGUCCCUGUCUGCUCUUUUUUAAUACAUUCUCAGGUCAAAGGGUUAGAUGGUUAUACAGUGAAAAUGCUGACACAGAUGGCUACGCCAACAGCACAUAAACACUAAGGUACAUGUUUCUUCAAGGCUGCAAGAGUGUCCACAAGAGAAAAAGCAUGGCAAGACAAGACAUGUUUAUGGCAUUUGGGGGUAUCCUCUUGCGGUAGAAGGGCAUUAUCUCCUCCCUGUGUUGAGGAGUAUCUGCUUAAGAUCAGAAGGGAAAUAUGCUGAGGCCAGGAUGGAGACAUCGCUUCCCAGUGUUCAGGAGUAUCAGGUUGAGGUCAGCAGGGGGGCAUAGCCUCCCACGUGUCACUGGGUCACACUUCAAGAUACUCACGCAGCUCACAAAGAGAACAAUUCAGACGAAGACUAACAGAAACAAGGAUAAAACAAUCCUAACAGAAACUAUAGUAGUAAUUAUAUACUUUUAUCAUGAUAACUAACAUAGUAAUAACUUCCUUAUCAAAGGCGUAGGUGGAAAUUCAGAUAAAGUAGGUCAAAGACAAAAAAAAGAGGAAGAAAGCGGCUAAGUCAGAAGAAGAAGAAGAGGAAUGCACAAAACCUACAGCUGUAUGUAGGUACUUUGAAUGUUGGGACUAUGACAGGAAAAGCUCAGGAGUUAGUUGACAUGAUGAUUAGGAGAAAGGUUGAUAUAUUGUGCAUCCAAGAAAAAGGGUGGAAAGGGAGUAAAGGUAGAACUUUAGGUGAAGGGUUUAAAUUAUUUUAUCAUGGAGUAGGUGGGAAGAGAAAUGGAGUAGGGGUUAUUUUAAAAGAAGACCUGGCUAAGAAUGUCUUGGAGCUGAAAAGAGUAUCAGAUCGAGUGAUGAGGCUGAAAUUUGAAAUUGAGGGUAUUGUGUAUAAUGUGAUUAGUGGCUAUGCCCCAUAGGUAGGAUGUUACCUCGAGUUGAAAGAGAAAUUCUCAAAGGAACAAGAUGAAGUAGUCUUGAGCAUCCCAGAGACAGAGAGAGAGAGAGAGAGAGAGAGAGAGAGAGAGAGACAGAGAGAGAGAAAGAGAAAGAGAGAGAGAGUUGUGAUUGGUGCAGAUUUCAAUGGACAUGGGGGCGAAAUGAAAAAGGGGUGAUGAAGAAGUGAUGGGUAAGUGCGGCAUUCAACAAAGGAACUUUGAGGGGCAGAUGGUGGUUGACUUCGCAAAAAGGAUGGAAUUGGCAGUGGCGAACACUUAUUUCCAGAAGAGAGUGGAACAUAGAGCAACUUAAAAGAGCGAAGGUAGAAACAUGCAGGUGGAUUAUAUUUUGUGCAUACGGUGUAAUCUGAAGGAUGUUACCGACUCUAAGGUUGCAGUGGGUGAGAGUGUAGCUCGACAGCAUAGGAUGGUGGUGUUUAGGAUGACUCUGGUAGUGGGUAGGAAGACUAAGAAGACAAAGGUAGAGCAGAGAAUCAGGUGGUGGAAGUUGAGAAAGGAAGAAUGUUGUGUGGCUUUCCAGAAAGAGGUGAGAGAGGCUCUAGAUGGACAGGAAGAGCUCCCAGAAGACUGCAAUACUACUGCCAAGGUAUUCAGAAAGGCAGGCAGGAGAGUACUUGGGGUGUCUUCUGGUAGGAAAGGGGAGAAGGAGACUUGGUGGUGGAAUCCCAAAAUACAAGAAGUCAUCCUAGGUAAGAGAUUAGCGAAGAAGAAGUGGGACACGGAGAGGACUGAGGAGAGGCGUAAAGAAUACAUUGAGAUGCGUCGUAGGGCAGAGGUAGAGGUGGGGAAGGCUAAACAGAGGAAAGAGUACCACAGAUGCACUAUUUGCCUUGAGGAUACUCGUGGAAAAGUACAGAGAAGGUCAGAAGGAGCUAAAUUGUAUCUUUGUAGACCGAGAGAAAGCCUAUGACAGAGUACCAAGAGAGGAACUAUGGAAUUGCAUGCGCAAGUCUUGUGUGGCGGAGAAAUAUGUUAGAAUAGUACCGGACAUUUAUGAGGGUAGCAGAACAGCGGUGAGAUGUGGUGUUGGUGUGUCAGAAGAAUUUCAGGUUGAGGUGGGACUGCAUCAGGGUUCCGCGCUGAGCACCUUCUUGUUUGCAGUAGUAACAGAUAGGCUGACAGACGAGGUUAGACUGGAUUCCCCUUGGACCGUGAUGUUCGCAGAUGAUAUUGUGAUCAGGCGGAGGAACAGUUAGAAAGAUGGAGGUACGUACGUAAAACAGAAUAUACUCGUAUGUGCAUGAAUGAGAGGGCCGGAGGAGGAAGAGUGAAGCUCCAGGGAGAAGAGAUAGCGAUGGUGGACGACCUCAAAUACUUGGGGUCAACAAUAUAGAGCAAUGGAGAUUAUGGUAAGGAAGUGAAGAAACGGGCCCAAGCGGGGUGAAACAGUUGGUGGAAGGUGUCUGGUGUUCUAUGUGACAGAAGAGUAUCUGCCAGGAUGAAGGGCAAACUUUUGAAAACAGUGGUGAGGCCGGCCAUGAUGUAUGGAUUAGAGACGGUGGCCCUGAAGAAACAACAGGAAGCAGAAUUUGAGGUAGCAAAGAUGAAGAUGUUGAGGUUCUCGCUUGGUGUGAACAGGUUGGAUAGGAUUAGAAAUGAGCUCAUUCGAGGGACAGCCAAAGUUGGAUGUUUUGGAGACAAGAUCAGAGAGAGCAGACUUCGAUGGUUUGGACAUGUUCAGAGGCAAGAGAGUGAGUAUGUUGGUAGAAGGGUGCUGAGGAUGGAGCUGCUAGGCAAAAGAGCGAGAGGAAGACUAAACAAAAUGUUUGAUGGAUAUUGUGAGGGAGGACAUGAGGACAGUGGGAGUUAGAGAGGAGGAUCCACAAGAUAGGCUUAAAUGGAAAAAGAUGACACACUGUUGCGAAACCUAACGGGACAAGCCAAAAGAAAAAGAAGAAUAUUUUAAACUUUUUUGACAAAUAAAAACAAUAUGAUAUAAUUAAUAUUUUGUAGUACCACCUUUUGCUGCAAUUACAGCUUAAGUUGCUUGGGGUAUGUUUCUCUUUGCACAUCGAGAGAGAGACAUCGAGAAUUCUUGCCCAUUCUUCCUUGCAAAACACCUCGAGCCCAGCGAGGUUGGAUGGAGAGCGUUUGUGACCAGCAGUCUUCAGCUCUGCCCACAGAUUCUCGAUUGGAAUCAGGUCUGGACUUUCACUUGGCCAUUCUAACACUUGGAUAUGUUCAUUUGUGAAACAUUCCAUUGUAGAUUUGGCUUUAUGUUUUGGAUCAUUGUCAUGUUGGAAUCUCCAUCCCUGUCUCAGGUCUUAUGCAGACUCCACAGGUUUUCUUCCAGAAUGGUCCUGUAUUUGGCUCUAUUCAUCUUUCCUGUCCCUGCUGAAGAAAAGCAGGCUCAAACCAUGAGGCUGCCACCACCAUGUUUGACAGUGGGGAUGGUGUGUUCAAGGUGAUGAGCUGUGUUGCUUUUACACCAAACAUAUCGUUUUACAUUGUGGCCAAAAAGUUCAAUUUUGGUUUCAUCUGACUGGAGCACCUUCUUCGACAUGUUUGGUGUGUCUCCCAGGUGACUUGUGGCAAACAUUAAACUGUGCAGUUCAUCCAGAGUGAUCAUGGGCCUCUUGGCUGCAUCUCUGAUCAGUCUUCUCCUCGUUGGUGGUGAAAGAUUAGAGGGACGGGCGGGUCUUGGUAGAUUUGCAGUGGUCUGAUAUCACUUCCAUUUCAAUAUAAUUGCUUGCACAGAGCUCCUUGAGAUGUUUAAAGCUUGGGAAAUCUUUUUGUAUCCAAAUCCAGCUUUAAACCUCUCCACAACAGUAUCUCGGACCUACCUGGUGUUUUCCUUAGUCUUUAUGAUGGUCUCUCCACUUUAAAUAGAACCCUGAUACUAUCACACAGCAGGUGCAUUUACAUGUAGACUUGAUUACACACAGGUGGAUUCUAUUUAUCAUCAUUCGUCAACAUUGGAUCAUUCAGAGAUCCUCACUGAACUUCUGGAGUGAGUUUGCUGCACGGAAAUAAAGGGGUCGAAUAAGAUUGGACGCCCCAGGUUUCCGUUUUUAUUAAAAAAAAAGUAUAAUAUAUCCAAUAAAUUUCAUUCCACUCCAUGAUUGUGUCCCUCUUGUUGUUGAUUCUUGACAAAAAAAAUUGUAUUUUCCUUCAAGUGAUUACAUGUACAUAUCCAUCCAUCCAUUUUCUUAGCUGCUUUGCCACACGAUGGUUGUGGAAGUGCUGGAGUCUGUCCCAGCUGUCAACAGGCAGGAGGCAGGUAACACACACACUGUCAUGAUCCUGCCGCUUCAGCACGAGCUGUGCGGGUGUCCGCGCAGGUGCGCUGAUUGGAAGGUGCACACCUGCGCCUCAUGCAGCCUGAUUAUGCUGUGGAUUUAUAUGACUGCGAUGACAACUGGCCGGCGCCAGUUUGUAUGAUCUUCAUGUCCCGUUCGUGUGCUACGGGAUCCCUGAUUGAACCUGUGUGUACCGACCUUCCUCCGUUCUCCGACCAACCUUUGGCACAUGGGGACUACUGAAGUGACGGUUAAGUUGCAUCCAUGUUCCACCACCAGAAUGUCCUUCCCUCCAAGGCACCUUUUGCACUUCCACAUUUGACAAUUGCUGGUGAUGUUUACCACGCCGCAAGCUCGCAGAGUUGGACCAUGGCACCAAGGAUAAGGAUACACGUGACCCAGCAGACGACACUGCCACCUCUUGGGCCCUCGGUCUUCCCCGGUCCGACCAUGGCGCCUCUCCGAUGAUGGUCUUCCAAUCAGCAAAUACCACCACGGCAUCUGUAUUACGACAAAUAGUGCAUACUACACAUGUGAUUAGUUCUCUCUUGUAUAACAUUUUGACACCGGUACAUUUACCCAUUUUUCCUCUCCAGGAUAUAAGACGCUCACAGUAGCAUCUUGCCCUUGAGCUAUAAUUUCUGCUGCUCGGGGAGGACCGUCUGGCUGUUUUACCCAAACCUUUGCCCCUGCCAAAUCAGUGGAGCCAAAUCCUCCCUCCCCUCUGGUAGUUAUCACCACAGGUUUAGGUAUUUCUUUUACCUUGGUUGCAAGGCUUCACUAUCAAUUGAGCAAUUUUGUCCCCUCUUUCCAAUGUAAGAGGCUGUUCUGCUAAUAAUUUGCAUACCACUCCAAUUUCUCCUUGAUAGUCCGCAUCAAUUACUCCGGCUUGUUUUGUUUCGAGAUAGCUUUUUCAAUGUUCCCUUAAGUAUUCCAUUCAUUCGCUCUAUUAACCCAGCAGCCUGCGGAUAAUAGGGAAUGUGAUAGAUCCAUUCUACAUGGUGAGUUUUUGCCCACUCUUUAGGCUCCUUUUCCCCCUAUUUUAAUUCGCUCAGACACAUACCAUUUCCAUUUGAUAAUACUAGCUUCCUGUGCGGUUCCUAUUCUAUGUGUCGUCGGGUUACCUUUAACCCAUGUCAAAAUCGGUAUAUGUGUUCUCAUUAACACCUCAUGGCCCACCGUUUUAGCCUCAGUUUCAACCAAUGCCCAAUAGCAUGCUAAUAGCUGCUUUUCAAAAGGUGUGUACCUUAGGCCUGCUUCUGGGAGCUUUCUCGACCAGAAUCCCAAGGGUUUACGAAUCCUAUCUUGCUUUUGCCACAAACUCCAGUUAGCGUAUUCAUUUAACACCGACACCUGCAAUUCUACCGGUCCCGAUUUCAUUUUUCCCAGUGACACUGCUUGCGGUAUCGCUUCCUUCGCCAUAUCAAAUGAUCGCUGUUGUUCUUCUCCCCAACUAAAGUAUCAUUAUUUCCUUAGGAACUUUUAAGCUUUUCCAGGUGCUCUGCUACCACUCGGUGGCAGAUUGUGGGACUAUGUAAAUAACCCUCUGGUAGUCUGGUAAACGUGUAGUGCCGCCCUUCCCAGGUAACGCAAAUUGAUUCAUCCUAUCCUCGGGAAUAGGAAUAGUGAAAAAUGCGUUAGCCAAAUCUAUGACCCCAUACCACGUUCCGGGAUGAUGUUGCACUCGUUCUAUAAUUGUCACUGCGUCGGGCACCGCGGAAGUCAAUGCAGGUGUGUGUUUAUUCAAUCCUCUGUAGUCUACUGUCAUCCUCCCAGAGUUAUCUGAUUUCCUGACUGGCCACAACGGAUUGUUCCAGUUUGUCGUCACUGUUUUCAAUACACCAGCUUCUAAAUAUUCUUUAAUGGUCGCCAAAAUUUCUUCCUGUCCUCCAGGUAUCCGGUAUUGCUUUUGACUAACUACAUGUGUAGCUUGUGGUAUCGGAAAAGGUGGCAUUUUUACUUUACCCACCAAUAUUGCAUGUAUUUUCAGUGGAUUUACUACGAAUUCAAAUCUCCCGGCUGUCAAAUAAAGUGUCAUUCCGGCUAAUAUGACCAUGCCCACUAUCCACUCUGGGAUAGGGGUUAUAAUCACCAUAUAUGUUUUUAUAGGCACAUUUCCUAUUUUCAAAGGUAAGUUUACAUGUUUUCCAUAAAUCACUUUUCCUCCUAGUCCUGUUAAUGGUACUAGGGGUCCUUUCAUUUUCUCUGGAUUUCCAUAAAUUAUUGAGGCCUCCGCCCCGGUAUCUACUAACGCUGUUACUGUUUGACCUGAUUUAUCCCAAUAAAUUUCCAUAUCAUAUACUUCAAAAGACACAGUCGUAGUUAACAAAAAGGAACCGGUGCAUCCUUUGUAAAACUGUACAUGCAAACAUAGUGCAGAUUAUUCAGAAGAUAUAACAAGCAUA